rnacentral:rRNA from 1 species
UACGGAGGGUGCGAGCGUUGCCCGGAAUCACUGGGCGUAAAGGGCGCGUAGGCGGCAUGCCAAGCGUGUGGUGAAAGCCCGGGGCUCAACCCCGGGUCGGCCGUGCGGACUGGCGUGCUCGAGCACUGUAGGGGCGGGUGGAAUUCCGGGUGUAGCGGUGGAAUGCGUAGAGAUCCGGAAGAACACCGGUGGCGAAGGCGGCCCGCUGGGCAGGAAGGCUCGCAAGAGCCGGCUGACGCUGAGGCGCGACAGCGUGGGGAGCAAACAGG